CAUAGGAAUCUGCCUAGUAGUGGGGGACAACCUGGUGAAAACCAGGCUAAUACCGCAUACGACCUACGGGUGAAAGCAGGGGACCUUCGGGCCUUGCGCUAUUAGAUGAGCCUAUGUCUGAUUAGCUUGUUGGUGAGGUAAUGGCUCACCAAGGCGACGAUCAGUAGCUGGUCUGAGAGGAUGAUCAGCCACACUGGGACUGAGACACGGCCCAG
rnacentral:rRNA from 1 species